GUGGCACGCCCACACCGCUAUGACUGGGACGUGGAUUUGAACCUCUGCCCACAGACACGAGCACCUGACCGGACAGGGCGAGCCUACCAGAGCCCCGUGGGGCGGGGAGAGGCGGAAACACCCGAACUGUGGCAGCGAAAUCGGAGAAAACCGACACCCGGCGGAGGGAGCCCAACGGAACCAACCGGCACCGAGGAGCGGGAAGAAGCGGGGGGAGGCGACGCUGCACGGAAAGAGCCGAAGAUGGGCGGAAAGAGCCGAAGAUGAGCGGAAGGAACCGAGGUGCUCCCGGUUUGCAUCCAGAUACCAGUUAAUUUACCAACUUGGGAGGAAUUUUAGGCCCUCUGCGCCAUUAAACUAGAUGCAUCCAUCCCUGAGGUCGCUGAUCUCAAGGAGCUGCGCAUACCAGGUGAUCCAGAGAGUAAUUUACUUAGUUCUUUCUUUACGGAUUGCCAUGAAUUCACCUUUCUCCAAAUUUAGUGCUGUGGCUGGCACAAUUAGCUGCAUGUUUAAGUCACCUAGAUUCAGGAAUUCUUCAAGUACCAUGGACGUGAGACAGGAUGUCUUCUGGCUUGUCCGCUGUGGGUUAUGCACCCACCUCUUCUAUGAGAGGGGAAUCCAAGGUCACUGCGAUUUCCAGCAAGAGAAGGGCUGUGUGCAUCUUGGGCGUGGGGGCACCUGCAUGGACCCGGAGGCCAAGCCAGCCUAUUCUGGUGCACAAUAUAGUGAUUCAACAAUUCUAUGCAUUACUCAGCGCUCAUCACGAUGUGUGCUCCUGAUGUCUUCACCUAUCUUACCCGUGCCCUUAUGCACCUCCCCUCUGGUAACCAUCAGUUUGUUCUUUUGUUCUCUGUAGAUAUUUUUCAUUUCUUCAAAUUUAUGUAUCAGGAGUGACAGAAAUGAAAAAUAUAAUUGAGUCCCAUCAUCAUGGAAAUGGCUUUAAGAGAAAACAGGUGUUGCAGGGGAACUAGGAAAUAACUUGUAUGAUGAAAUCAAGAAGUUCACAUACGACAAGCACAAAAGCACCGCCCAGGCCUCUGAGAACAUUGGACGAUGCGCCCUUGAAAAUAAAAGCUGUGGCUCUUUCCUUGCAAGCAGUCUUCCUCCAGCAGUCAAGUGUGCUUGUGUACAGGGUGUCAAUUCUUUUACAUCCUGACUGCAUCACCAUACGGUG